GGAGAGGUGGCCGAGUGGCUGAAGGCACCGGUUUGCUAAACCGACAUAGUUCUUAUAGAGCUAUCGAGGGUUCGAAUCCCUCCCUCUCCGCAA
rnacentral:tRNA from 1 species